rnacentral:rRNA from 1 species
AUUGAACGCUGGCGGAAUGCUUUACACAUGCAAGUCGAACGAUGAACCUUAGCUUGCUAAGGGGAUUAGUGGCGAACGGGUGAGUAAUGUAUCGGAACGUAUCCAAUAAUGGGGGAUAACUAGUCGAAAGAUUAGCUAAUACCGCAUACGUCCUACGGGAGAAAGCUAGGGACCUUCGGGCCUGGCGUUAAUGGAGCGGCCGAUAUCUGAUUAGCUAGUUGGUGGGGUAAAGGCUCACCAAGGCGACGAUCAGUAGCUGGUCUGAGAGGACGACCAGCCACACUGGAACUGAGACACGGUUCAGUCUCCUACGGGAGGCAGCAGUGGGGAAUUUUGGACAAUGGGCGAAAGCCUGAUCCAGCCAUUCCGCGUGAGUGAAGAAGGCCUUCGGGUUGUAAAGCUCUUUCGCAAGAGAAGAAAACUUAAGCUCUAACAUAGCUUGAGGUUGACGGUACCUUGAUAAGAAGCCCCGGCUAACUUCGUGCCAGCCGCCGCAGUAA